UGGCUUUUGGCUUAUUUUUGUACUUUUUAUGCCUACAAGUAAGUGCUUUUAAGCACUUUUUAUCAUUGUCAAACACCACACAAACUAAAAAAAUACUUAAAAGCCAAUAAGCACUUAAAAUAGGCCAAUCCAUACACCCUCUAACAAAACAUUUGGCAACUUAUUCAACCCAAUUUCUUUUCCAGAAAAUUCAAUUACUUAAUUUGUUUUCAACUAAAUAUAUUAAAAAUUACAAAAAAAAUAAUUGCAGAAGUGUCUUUCAUAAGCUUCUUUCUUAUCUUCAUCUCUUUCAGAAGCGUCUUUCUUUUCUUCAUCUAUUUCCCACCAUUGUUAUAUCACUUUGUCAUGGAAGAUGAGAAGAAAUUCAGCAACAAGAAACAUUGUAUGUUAUAUAAAAUCAUAAACGGAUAACACCUCUUCAGAUCGGAAUGUUUAUUAUCUAAAAUUGAGGGAUUUUUACUUGGAAAAGAUUCACAAUUUCCCAGCAACUAUUACAUUUUAUCAUCUCCAACCAAAAUCCAAUUCGAGCGAUAUAUCGAGUAACAAGAUGACUUGGAAUUUGAAGGUACAAGUAGUGAAAUUGUGGCACGUUCCAGGCCGCGACAAACAAGACAACACCGUCUCUCUUGAAUUAAUUAUUGAAGACGAAUAGGGCUCGGAUUCAUGCGACUUUUGGUCGGUCUCUUAUACGUAUGUUCAAACCAAAGAUAAAGGAAUUGGGUUUGUACUUUAUGAGGAAUUUUGUGGUUGGACCAAAUAGUAUGAAACUUAAAUAUGCGCGACAUAAAUUAAAGUUGGCAUUUACCCAUAAGACGACUGUAGAGGAGUCAAAUGAUGUAGACUCUUCGUAAACAAAGAAUGUAUGGAAUGCAUACUGCAGAUGGCAAUAAAGCAUAACAAAGGCAGCGUUUGUGAACGACAGCGUUUGAAAGUUGUUUGUCUUCAAAUAUAAAGCAUAACAAAGGGAAAGGCAUAUUGGUGAAGGAGAAUACAAAUAAAUCUGGAUUGAGUAUAAUUAGAAUGUUUGAAAUGCAUACUGCAGAUGGCGAUAAAAUAAAUGGACAUGUUGUUGUGCCAACUCCAUCAUAUCAAAAUUGCACACCAUCAGUUAUCUACCCCAUAAUGAGUUGUGGACAUAUUUCGAAAUUCAAGCCUCUUGCAUAUAAUCCAAAGCCCCUUCCAGUAGCAAAUUUGAAAACUGGUUAGUCUUUUCUGGUG